rnacentral:rRNA from 1 species
AGCGAACGCUGGCGGCAGGCUUAACACAUGCAAGUCGAGCGGGCGUAGCAAUACGUCAGCGGCAGACGGGUGAGUAACGCGUGGGAACGUACCUUUUGGUUCGGAACAACCCAGGGAAACUUGGGCUAAUACCGGAUAAGCCCUUACGGGGAAAGAUUUAUCGCCAAAAGAUCGGCCCGCGUCUGAUUAGCUAGUUGGUGAGGUAACGGCUCACCAAGGCGACGAUCAGUAGCUGGUCUGAGAGGAUGAUCAGCCACAUUGGGACUGAGGCACGGCCCAAACUCCUACGGGAGGCAGCAGGUGGGGAAUAUUGGACAAUGGGCGCAAGCCUGAUCCAGCCAUGCCGCGUGAGUGAUGAAGGCCCUAGGGUUGUAAAGCUCUUUUGUGCGGGAAGAUAAUGACGGUACCGCAAGAAUAAGCCCCGGCUAACUUCGUGCCAGCCGCCGCAGUAA